UUUACGAUCGAGUCAUGUAGAUUAGUUAGAAGUUACGUUUUUCAUUAAACCUCUGUUAGAUCUUGGCUAACUUAACUGUUAGAGGAAGACUAUUUUACUGUGUUAGAUUUGUUAUUAUGCAAGAACUUUGUCUUCUGUUUGAAUUUGGUGUGGAUUGUAAAUCAGUUAGAUGAAUAUCUGUUUAUUACUUUGAUUUUUGUUAUAGCUUUUUACAGGUUAAAUGAGUUAAUUCAGUUUUUCAUUCUUCAACUUGGUUUUUUGCAGGUUACUCGGUGUUGCGUUUUGAUUUGUUUGGAUUGCAUUUGCCGUUGGAGUUGGCUUGUAUACAGCUGGCUUGCGCGUUUCUGCUACCGUGUUGCCUUUGUUAUUUCGAUUGAUGUCGUCAUGUGGUUACGGUGUUUCAGAGUUGCAGCUUUGACGGUAGCUGGUGCAUGGGUGUGUAUGCAGCAUUGUGGUUUCUGUUGCAGCUUUUCACUUUUGCUUUUUUUUUUCAUUUUGUUUCAUUUUCUUGUAUUGGAUGUUAUUGGAUACUGAUUGGUAAAUGGAUUUUAUCUAGUGGAUUUAAGCAAUUCGUAAAUGGAUAAUGGAUUAUGUAAAUGGUUUAAUAUUAUGGUUGUCAAUUGGUUAUGAAAUGGAUAGUUGGUUUUGAA
rnacentral:lncRNA from 1 species